rnacentral:rRNA from 1 species
AUGAACGCUGGCGGCGUGCCUAAUACAUGCAAGUCGAGCGAACAGACGAGUAUCUUUCUCCUCUUACGUUAGCGGCGGACUGGUGAGUAACACGUUGAUAACCUACCUAUAAUACUGUGUUAACUUCGGGAAACCUGAGCUAAUACCGGAUAAUAUAUUUCACCGCAUGUUUCAAUAGUUAAAUUCGUUUUUUCUUUCCCUUAUUUAUUGAUCCCCGCCUCAUUAGCUAGUUGGUAAGGUAACGGCUUACCAAGGCAACGAUGCGUAGACGACCUGAGAGGGUGAGAGGCGACACUGGAACUGAGACACGGUAAAGAGAACUACGGGAGGCAGCAGUAGGGAAUAGACCGCAAUGGGCGAAAGCAUGACGGAGCAAAGCCGAGUGAGUGAUGAAGGACUACGGAUCGUAAAACAAUGUUAGUAGGGAAGAAAAAAAGUGUAAGAAAAUAUGCAGGAAUUGACGGUAACUAAUAAGAAAGCAACGGCUAAAUACGUG